GACGAACGCUGGCGGCGUGCUUAACACAUGCAAGUCGAACGGUGAAGCGCCUUCCUUUUUGGUCGGUCGGGAUGAGUGGCGAACGGGUGAGCAACACGUGAGUAACCUGCUCCCUUCUUCUGGAUAACCGCAUGCAAGUGUUGCUACUACGGGAUAUAUUGGGCCUGUCGCAUGAUGGGUCUGGGACGGUUUUUGUUUCGGUUGGGGAUGGGUUCGCGGCCGAUUAGCUGGUUGGUGGGGUGAUGGCCUACCAAGGCGGCGAUGGGUAGCCGGCCUGAGAGGGUGGUGGGCGGCAACAGUGGGAAGGCGCGACGCAGAAGCCUCCGGGGGGCGGCAGUAGGGGAGAUUAUGGCACAGUGGGAGGAAGGCUGGUGCAGCGACGCGGCGGGGGUGAUGGUGUUCUUCGCGUUGUGAACCUCUUUCGGGGGAGAAGCAGGCCGGCCUCGAUUGUGGGUGGGUUGACGGUAGCUGGAUAAGAAGCGCCGGCUAACUACGUG
rnacentral:rRNA from 1 species